UGUGUGGAGGUAAGGAACUACGUCGUGUUCUCUCUUUCGGUAAAUCCUUUCCUCUCACUGU
ensembl:miRNA mdo-mir-7398k-1 mdo-mir-7398k-1